rnacentral:rRNA from 1 species
UGCGUAACACAUGCAAGUCGAACGGUGUUUGGUGCUUGCACCAGACAUAGUGGCGGACGGGUGAGUAAUGCGUAGGAAUCUGUCUUAGAGAGGGGGACAACCCGAGGAAACUUGGGCUAAAACCGCAUAUUCUCGAGAGAGGAAAGCAGGGGACCGGAAACGGCCUUGUGCUCUAAGGUGAGCCUACGUCGGAUUAGCUAGUUGGUAGGGUAAAAGCCUACCAAGGCGAUGAUCUGUAGCUGGUCUGAGAGGACGGACAGCCACACUGGGAUUGAGACACGGCCCAGACUCCUACGGGAGGCAGCAGUGGGGAAUAUUGGACAAUGGGGGGAACCCUGAUCCAGCGAUGCCGCGUGUGUGAAGAAGGCCUGCGGGUUGUAAAGCACUUUCAGUGGGAAAGAGAAGCGUCUUGUGAAUAAUGGGACGUGGAGACGUUACUCACAGAAGAAGCACCGGCUAACUCUGUG